UGAUAUGUCCUCUCGACCAAUCAGAAUUCGGUGAGCGUUCGAUGCAAUCUAACAUGGCGGUUCUUUGAAGCGAGGGAGUUUGUUUUUGCUCAGUCUUCAAAAUGAGUGCUUUAAACUCUAUUAACACUUUUGAUGGCCUGGAUGAGCCAGUGAGACCUACACCUGGGGGCUGGAGUCCGGAGUGCCAACUCGGCUCGGUUCCCGAUAUAGGGAUAGGUUUCCCAGUGUGCGGAUGUUUAAACGAGGUACAUCGGUGGGGGAGGUAAAUACGAUCUCACCAGAUGAUCUUUCAAGUUACAUCCGUGCCUGAACACCGUGAGAGGAGGAUCCUGAAAAGAUUUAAGACUUUUGUCAGUUUUCAGAAUGUGCCAAUAUUUGUUGAUUAUCUUCUUAAUUUGUUCUGAAGUUUUAGUGUAUUUUGUGGUAAAAAUCACAGAAAAUCUUUUUUUGAUUUUUAUCUUUCUAACUUAACAGACUCAAACAUGAUUGACCUUCACUUUUUUUUCUCUGCUGCUUGAAUUUGCUCCGCAGUAUAACCUCUGCAGUGAAACAAAUCUUUUAAAACAUUAAA